UACGUAGGGUGCGAGCGUUGUCCGGAAUUAUUGGGCGUAAAGAGCUCGUAGGCGGUGUGUCACGUCGGCCGUGAAAACCUGCAGCUUAACUGUGGGCGUGCGGUCGAUACGGGCAUCACUGGAGUUCGGCAGGGGAGACUGGAAUUCCUGGUGUAGCGGUGAAAUGCGCAGAUAUCAGGAGGAACACCGAUGGCGAAGGCAGGUCUCUGGGCCACUACUGACGCUGAGAAGCGAAAGCGUGGGGAGCAAACAGG
rnacentral:rRNA from 1 species